AAUCUAACAUGUGGGGAAACAGGCUGUAAGCAAAUAAGCAGAGAAAUGUAUUGCAUGUCAGGUGGUGAUCAGUGCCAUGAAGAGAAAUGAACAAGAGAAAUGCAGCAGGAAGUGACAGCCUCUGUGUGUACAGGGGCCUAAUGUGGAAAAGAUGCUGGGAUGAGGUCUUCUGAGGAAGGGAUAUGGGAAUAAAGAACUCAACAACAUGAGGGUCUCCUGGGAUCCCAUACCUCUAGACUCUGAGUCUAAAUUGGUCUGACUGUAAGAUUUUGAUUUCUGUUGGGUAAGAUUCUAGAAUCUAGGAACCUAGAAACCAAAUAAUAGAUUUUCAUGGCUUUCAUAUUCCAUGACAAUGAUUCCACUAUUCUGUGACUCUGAAAUUCUAGGAUUUACUGAAGCAUCAUUUUGCUUGAAUAGACUAGGAUUCAUUGCCUACCCUCUCCCCACUACCCCUAGGAAACAGAGCUGAAAAUAGAAACAGUCAAAACAACACACCAUUCCAGCUCUAAGUGCCAUAGUAAACAAAUGGUCCAAUGUUGUUCUGAUAGUUUAAUUGCUGCAGAUCCAGACAAGCCCAUUCAUGAAGGAUCUUUAGUUGAUGGAGAGGAGGAGGCACAGAAGAGGAUGAGCCAGCAUUACUUUGACUGCCAAAGACAGAGCCCCUUCUGGGUAACCUGGAGCCCUGGAGGUUGUUGUAAAGGAGAUUGUGACCCUGAAUUACACUCACAGUUGAGCCUCGGCAAGGUCACUGAGGCCCUCUCAGGAGCAAUGCAGUUCUUGCCUUCACCGUCUCCUUGUGUCCCUUCUCUCUCUGGGUGCUUUGGCUUGCUUGUUGCCCCUAUAUCUUUCCCUUAUCAUUAGAUUAUUUAAUCAACUUUUAUGUAUUGUCCCAACUUCCUGUAUCCACAUUCAAGCUGACAGCUCCCAUUGCUGCUGGCUGGUAUAGUAAAUUGUCCAAAACUGGCCUGCUGGAUGGGCCUUUUGUACCAGGUCACACACUGGCAACUUUUGGGUCAGGUGACUCCUCUUUGCAUCAAGUAGUAGGGCACCUGCGGAGCCACUGGGGAUAUAUCACAAGGUCAACAGCAAUAGUAAUAGUCAUGAUAUCAGCAUGACAUAUUGAUGAAGGUGGACUCUGAAUCAGACAUCCUCGGUUCAGAUUCAAGUCCAGCCUCCUAGCUAUGUGAUCUUGGGUGUUAGACCUAACUGUACCCCAUGUCUACACUGACAGGUUGGAAAUAAUAAUG
rnacentral:lncRNA from 1 species